rnacentral:lncRNA from 1 species
UUCUCCGGAGAAAUUUUCUGAGCCGAGCUAUCGGGAACCGAAACUUGCUCCGGCGGUGAUGGCGAUGCUGACGGGGAGCGAGGAGCGGUGACCGUGGUUGUUUCGGCGUCGCUGCCACCGCGGACGACUUGUGCCCAAGGUGAGGUUAAACUCCGGCGAGACUGAGGACUGUUGACGGCGGCGGAGCUACCGUCGGGGGUGGUGACUGGCGAAAGACAGUAUCAAAACUGGUAAAUAGUUGUUUCGGCGUCGCUGCCACCGCGGACGACUUGUGCCCAAGGUGAGGUUAAACUCCGGCGAGACUGAGGACUGUUGACGGCGGCGGAGCUACCGUCGGGGGUGGUGACUGGCGAAAGCGGCGAGUUGUUAGAUGCUGAUGAAUCGGCCGGCAUGGCCAUCAAAAAAUAGGAAACUUCUGGAAACUUCAGCUGGAAGAUUCGACAAGAGAAAGCCAAAGGAUCAGAGGAAAAUGAGGGUUCAGGUGAGAAGCUGAACGGGAAAAUUAGGGUUUUCAGUGAUCAAUGCGAGUUUUUCUGUCUUUUCCAAAGUUUUAUUCUCCUAUUUUAUUUAAAAAAAUUAAUUGUCGGGAGAGAAAAUGUGAUUUACUUUGCUAAAAAGGCUCAAACAUCAUACUUUUG